CCUACGGGAGGCAGCAGUGGGGAAUAUUGGACAAUGGGCGAAAGCCUGAUCCAGCCAUGCCGCGUGUGUGAAGAAGGUCUUAGGAUCGUAAAGCACUUUAAGUUGGGAGGAAGGGUUGUAGAUUAAUACUCUGCAAUUUUGACGUUACCGACAGAAUAAGCACCGGCUAACUCUGUGCCAGCAGCCGCGGUAA
rnacentral:rRNA from 1 species